rnacentral:rRNA from 1 species
GGAGAGGCGAGAAAAGCGUUGGGGAGCAUACCAGGGAUUAGGUACCCUUGGUUAGUCCACGCCGUAAACGAUUAAUUCCCAGCCCGUUGGGACAGCUUGCUGUCUCAGUGGCGCAGCUAACGCUUUAAGCAUUCCGCCUGGGGGAGUACGGUCGCAAGGAUUAAAACUCAAAGGAAAUGACGGGGGCCCGCACAAAGCGGUGGGAGCAUGUGGUUUAAUUCGAAGCAACGCGCAGAACCUUACCAGCCUUUUGACAUGUCCGGUAUGGAUCCUGGAGACAGGUUCCUUCAGUUCGGCUGGCCGGAACACAGGUGCUGCAUGGCUGUCGUCAGCUCGUGUCGUGAGAUGUUUGGGUUAAGUCCCGCAACGAGCGCAACCCUCGCCCUUAGUUGCCAUCAUUCAGUUGGGCACUCUAAGGGGACUGCCGGUGAUAAGCCGAGAGGAAGGUGGGGAUGACGUCAAGUCCUCAUGGCCCUUACGGGCUGGGCUACACACGUGCUACAAUGGCGGUGACAAUGGGCAGCGAACCCGCGAGGGGGAGCUAAUCCCAAAGAGCCGUCUCAGUUCGGAUUGCACUCUGCAACUCGAGUGCAUGAAGGUGGAAUCGCUAGUAAUCGUGGAUCAGAACGCCACGGUGAAUACGUUCCCGGGCCUUGUACACACCGCCCGUCACACCAUGGGAGUUGGUCUUACCCGACGGCGCUGCGCCAACCGCAAGGAGGCAGGCGACCACGGUAGGGUCAGCGACUGGGGUGAAGUCGUAACAAGGUAGCCGUAGGGGAACCUGCGGCUGGAUCACCUC